rnacentral:rRNA from 1 species
UACGGGGGGGGCAAGCGUUGUUCGGAAUUACUGGGCGUAAAGGGCUCGUAGGCGGCCAACUAAGUCCGACGUGAAAUCCCCAGGCUUAACCUGGGAACUGCGUCGGAUACUGGAUGGCUUGAGUUUGGGAGAGGGAUGCGGAAUUCCAGGUGUAGCGGUGAAAUGCGUAGAUAUCUGGAGGAACACCAAUGGCGAAGGCAGCUCGCUGGAACGGUACUGACGCUGAGGCGCGAAAGCGUGGGGAGCGAACAGG